rnacentral:rRNA from 1 species
UACGUAGGGUGCGAGCGUUAAUCGGAAUUACUGGGCGUAAAGCGUGCGCAGGCGGUUUUGUAAGCCAGAUGUGAAAGCCCCGGGCUUAACCUGGGAACUGCAUCCGAUACUGGAUGGCUUGAAUCCGGGAGAGGGAUGCGGAAUUCCAGGUGUAGCGGUGAAAUGCGUAGAUAUCUGGAGGAACACCGGUGGCGAAGGCGGCAUCCUGGACCGGCAUUGACGCUGAGGAGCGAAAGCCAGGGGAGCAAACGGG